rnacentral:rRNA from 1 species
GUGAGGUAACGGCUCACCAAGGCAGCGACGGGUAGCUGGUCUGAGAGGACGAUCAGCCACACUGGGACUGAGACACGGCCCAGACUCCUACGGGAGGCAGCAGCAGGGAAUAUUGCACAAUGGGCGAAAGCCUGAUGCAGCGACGCCGCGUGAGGGAUGACGGCCUUCGGGUUGUAAACCUCUUUCAGGAAGGACGAAGCGAAAGUGACGGUACUUCCAGAAGAAGCCCCGGCCAACUACGUGCCAGCAGCCGCGGUAAUACGUAGGGGGCAAACGUUGUCCGGAUUUAUCGGGCGUAAAGAGCUCGUAGGCGGCUCAGCAAGUCGGCCGUGAAAGCCCGAGGCUCAACCUCGGGAGGCCGGUCGAAACUGCUGUGGCUAGGGUCCGGUAGAGGAGAGUGGAAUUCCCGGUGUAGCGGUGAAAUGCGCAGAUAUCGGGAGGAACACCAGUAGCGAAGGCGGCUCUCUGGGCCGGUACCGACGCUGAGGAGCGAAAGCUAGGGGAGCAAACAGGAUUAGAUACCCUGGUAGUCCUAGCUGUAAACGUUGGGCACUAGGUGUGGCGGAUUCAUUGACAUCUGCCGUGCCGAAGCUAACGCAUUAAGUG